UACGGAGGAUGCAAGCGUUAUCCGGAUUUAUUGGGUUUAAAGGGUGCGUAGGCGGAAAAUUAAGUCAGUGAUGAAAUCCUGCAGCUUAACUGUAGAACUGUUAUUGAUACUGGUUUUCUUGAAUAUAGUUGAGGUAGGCGGAAUGUGUAAUGUAGCGGUGAAAUGCUUAGAUAUUACACAGAACACCGAUUGCGAAGGCAGCUUACUAAGCUAUGAUUGACGCUGAGGCACGAAAGCGUGGGGAGCGAACAGG
rnacentral:rRNA from 1 species